rnacentral:lncRNA from 1 species
AUCUUCCAUGUACUCAACACAACCUAAAGCAUCUUUCAAUUUCAACUUAUUCAAAUUACAUGUUGAGCAAUCCAAAACAUCAUGAGGUUGUUUUAACUUUUUAGCAGAAAUCAUAUUAAACAUCAAACUAGCAUGAAAAGCAAUUUGAUAUUUUUGCAACAACUUUUUAGUUAAAAACAACUCAUCCAAAGUGCGUGUGUGCAAAGCAAAACUACAAGCAAGAGAAGAUCUAUUUUUCAAAUCAUAUGCAGCAUUAAUAUCUCUAAUUUUUGAAAUCUCAUUCAUUAAAACCUCACAAUUUUUGCAAUUAUCAUCAUUAGGAAUAAGAGAUUUUAAUCUAGCAAUUUCAGAUUUAAGAGAUUCAUCGAUAAAUUCCUCUUUUCUAUACAUCUUCUCACACUUCUUAUUCUUUUCACUCAAAAUAUUAAUAGCUUCCUCAAAAGCACUUACCUCAUUAUCUUCAUACUCUGUGUCAGAUUCACCACGCGCCAUGAAGCAAACAUCGGAGAUGUUCUUUCCCUUAUCAUCAUCUCCACUCUCACCAUCUACAUCACUUAGUGGCUCGAAGGCGGCGCAAACUUGUUGAAAAGCCUUCCUGAGAUUCUCCAUCUUCCUCCCUUGGUAUGAACCCUUCGGCUUGUUGUUGUUGUUCUUCUCACCAUCUUUGUCUUCUCUUUUGCCUCUCCCAAGCUUAGGACAAUGCGAACGAAGAUGAUCGAUUGAACCACAUUCAAAGCAACGAUUUGGACCACCUCUUUUCCUGUUCCUGGCAUUAUUCAUAGCUCGAGCAAUUCUGUUAGCAACCAAAGCCAAAUCCUCCUCCUCGAUUUGUUCGAGUUGAUCAUCGGAUGUGGCAUUAAAAACAGCAAGAAACGAAGGCUUAGAUGAAGAAGCAUCAACAUCUAAAGAAGAAGAAGAAGAAACCAAAGCACUCGACUUAGAAUCAACUUUUCGAGAAAGAACAUUCAUCUCAUGUGUUUUCAAUUUUGUAUAAAGUGAAUCCAAAGUCAAAGUAGACAUGUUAACAUACUCCUGAAUAAAUGUAACUUUCAUUUCCCAAAUAGACAUAUCAAGACCAUUCAAAAAGUGACGAGAAAUCUCAGAUUGUGGAUAAUUAGCAUCAUAAGACAGAUCUAAGAUCACUCAAAAUUUUAUUAAACCGAGAAAGAUAGUCAUCCAAAGCUUCUCCAGGUUUCAUCUCAAAUUUAAUAUACUCCUUUUUGAAGAGAUCACGACGAAGUUCUUUAAUGUUAUUUGUUCCCUGAUGAAAAUUACUCAAAGCAAUCCAAAUCUCAUGGGUAGUUUGAAGAUGAGCAACACGAUCAUAAUCCGAAUGAGAAAUCCCACUCAAAAGAAUAUUGCGAGCUUUGCAAUUUUGUUCAAACUCUAUUUUUAAAGCAGCAGUAUUAAUAACUUCAGGAAUCACAUAAGGAUGAGAGACUUUUCUCCAAAUAUCAUAAUCUUCAGCCAUAAUAUAAGAUUGCAUCCUACUACACCGAUGAGGAAAAUCCGUUCCAUCGAAAACAUGAGGCUUAGUUGAAAACCUAGCGGGAGUAGCCAUGGCAAAAACUCUAAAUCAAUAAAAAUCCAAAGAAGAAAACAAGGCUCUGAUACCACUUGUAGGAUCGAAUCACAAGAACUAAGCCAACCAGAGGGGGUGAAUGAUUGAUAUACCCAAAAACCGAAAACUUUUAGCGGAAAUAGAAGUUACCCUCGAAAUCGACGGAAGUCGGUCUGACCGAGAUUAAUCUGCCGGUCUGACCGAAGCGUAGCCGCCGGUCUGACCGGUGUUGAUCUUCUGGUUGGACUGCCCUGGAAUCCCUGCCGCGCCUAUUGUCGCCGCCGGUCUGACCGCAGGUCACCCGCCGGUCUGACCGCCGCAAUGCCACCGGUCUGACCGCCGGUGUGUUGCCGGUUAGACCGCCUAAACUCGGUGAAAUACAAAUCGAAGAACUCUUAAAGUGGAUGACGACUUUAUUGAUUCUCUCUGUGUUUACAAAGUGCACCAACAGCACUCCUUACAAAAAUUUCAACUAAACUCGAAACCCUAACUCAAAACUCAACUCAAUUGCUCUCAAAAGGGAUACCGGAAAACCUCACGCUCCCCCUCUAUUUAUACCCGAGGUAGACAGCCUAAAGCCACGAACCAAACUCAUACUAGGAGUCCUAAACACCUUAGGAAACCCUCUAGUACAAGAAAGAAACUUUACAUAACCAAUCGUACCAAAUUUGAACUCCUUCCAAAUUCGACUCCGCAUCCCAUACGCACACAAUAACUCCAUCGUAUGCCAUAUGGAAUCUCCAUCAACCACGUGCAUCAACUCUAGCCUAAGUAUCCCGCAUGAUCUCUGACCACCACGGACAUCGUCUUAUCCCCAAGCCGACUCCCGAUCCAUCACCGCAAAUACUCUCCCGAGGCAUCGAGUCACCUACACAUGAAAUAAACAAAGAAACCAUAUUCCGAGACCAAGCUAUCUCCAACUUGACUCAUUAGUAGCAAACAAUAGUAUUACAUACGUAUAGUAUUCAUCUAGAAGUCAUAAUCAUGAAAUAAUCACAGAUAUCCAAACAAACAACCCGAAACCGAAACCGACACAGUGUCGGCCGGUCAGACCGCGUUCUGGCCGGUCCGACUGCUCGAUCACCGCCGGUCUGACCGGCUACCAGAGCCCGGUCUGACCGGUCACAUGAAAUAAUGAAUCCUGCAAUCACCUGUAAAUCCAAUCAUCUCCAAAACCACUUCGUAAAUAAAUUCCAAAUAACAAAACCAGUAAUCUCCAAUGCCCAAUUGUUCAUCACAGAAUAAUAAUAAAAAAACACCUUUGAUUUUACAUAAACGACUUAGGCCCUGUUUAGUUCCCAAACAAAAAUUUUUCACCCUAUCACAUUAAAUAUUUGGACAUAUUCAUGGAGUAUUAAUAUAGACAAAAAAACUAAUUACACAGAUUCCAUGUAAAUUGCGAGUCGAAUCUUUUAAGCCUAAUUGCGUCAUGAUUUGACAAUGUGGUGCUACAGUAAACAUUUGUUAAUGAUGGAUCAAUUAGGCUUAACAAAUUCACGUUGCAGUUUCCAGGUGUAAUCUGUAAUUUGUUUUGUUAUUAAUCUAUGUUUAAUACUUUAAAUGUGUGUCCGUAUAUCCGAUGUGAUACGGUUAAAAUUUUCGUUUGCGAACUAAACAGGCCCUUAUAAUAUGAAACAGAGGGAGUACAUAUAAAGCCAUUUGGAUGGGCGUAGAUUCUUAUUGCUUACUUCCUUUAUUCCUAAAUUCUUCUAUCACCAGACGCUAUUUAUAUUUAAAACUUGACCAAAUGAAUUUUUAUAAAAUAUACUUCCUCUGUCAUUUUAUGUUUAACGUUAGUUAGUUCAAACCGUCAAAUAUUUGUGGAAGAAGGUAGAAUAUAUAUAAAAAGUUAAAAGAAAUUGUAUUAUCAAAGUGUGUUUUCACCCUAAACAGCAUUAAACUUUUAUCAAAGUGUGUUGCAUCCUAAACAUAAGCAUUAUGCUUUUAUUCAUUGUAGUCUAACCAUUUAAAAUGCUUUAUAUUAGUAGUCAAAGUUGAAACAACAUCGAUCGAUAGUGAUAGUAUUUGGAACAGAUGGAGUAUGAUCUCUGAAGCCCAAACCAUCGUAUCGGGUGACUUAAUAGUGACAAAUAUUUUGGCUAGGCCGGCGUAAGGUAAGCCCAACGCAAACUAACAGCCUGAGCUUGUUAAGAUGUCAAAGAGGAAUAAGUUUGCUUUAGGUCCCUCGUCUUUGACGCCAAGUAUGAAUUCUGUGCUUGAACCGCAAUAUCAAAUAUAACGUCUCUUAACUUGCAAUACCAGAGUGCGCCCAAGAUCGCAGGGCGUGCCUGGUUUCGACUAAUGUGGUGUUGAGUCAACGUGGGAUCCACGUGGGCCCUGACCAGCUUGUUCCUUCUAUCUCCUACUAACCCAUCUUACCCUCGCAUCACCAACUCUCCCCAACGUCUCUAUCUCAGUCCCACACUCCCACAUCUCUCCAGUGCAGCGGCUGAUGGGGAUCGGAGAAGGUCAGCGUCUGGUGGGAGAGGAGUUAGGUAGUGUGAGCAGUUUGGCGCAGGCCACGGGAGUGGGGAGCUAGUGCGAUACAAGAAGGACGUCGUGCCGUACCGCGGAGCCUAACGGUAGCAUGGAAGCACCGCGUGGGCUAGCUGUGAGGAGUCUGCGCCGUCAUUUGAGCAACACUACCUCCGCCCAAGCCGCACGCAGCUAUACGGGGUACUAAGCUCCAAGCUCCACUAUCCGGCUGCUGUCAUUGGCUUCUCGGCUCCAAGCUCUACUGCCGCCGCCCGGUUGAGCCAACGUCGCGAGGCCCCUCCAUCUUCGCUUGCCACCACUUAGGUGAGAGUGGAAUAAAAAAGGCAGAGAAAAUAAAGAUAAACAGAGAGGAAGGAGAAGAGAGAUGAGGGAUGUGCCAACAUGUGGGAUCUGCCAAUGUUUAAAUUUACAUUUUUAACUGAAAUGCCUUAUAGGCGGUCACUUAGGACGAAACUACCAUCAAAAUCACAUAGGGAUUUAAAUUGGUCCUGUUUAAAUAGUUUGAGGUACUCCAUAUAACACGGUUCAAUGACGGAAUCUCGACUCGUUGUCAAGAAGAUAGACCUAAAGUGAACUUUAUUUCUCAAACAAGAAGGUGCGAAUAAAGGCCCCCCAUCUUUUAGCCCAAUAACAACGGGGUCAUCUUUUUUCUUAAUGGGCCGUGCAAAGUUUCAGCCCAUGAUGCCCGUGGGCCCGGUAAACUCCCGUUUCCGUGCAUGCCAAGAAGCCUCUCCCCCUAUAAAAAAAAAACGCCCCCGACAAAGAGGGGGACCCAAACGAGUCACCUCUCGCACCACCACCGCGUCAGUAUACAAACGGCGGCGACCAACCAAAUUCCGGCGAGUCGUCGUCGUCGUCGCCGUCGUCGAGAGAGAGUCAAACCCCCCACACGCAAAGAGAGCGAAACCCCACCCCCCUCCUCUUCCUCAUCCACCCCACGCACGCCUCGUCGCGGCCGCGCGAGGUGAGCUGGAGCGAACGGCGGCGAUGGCGGCGGCGAAGGAGGCGGUGGUGCCGGUGGAGGGGCGGAGGAACGUGCUGGUGACGAGCGCGCUGCCGUACGUGAACAACGUGCCGCACCUGGGGAACAUCAUCGGCUGCGUGCUCUCCGCCGACGCCUUCGCGCGCUACUGCCGCCUCCGGGGGCACAACGUGCUCUACGUCUGCGGCACCGACGAGUACGGCACCGCCACCGAGACCAAGGCCAUGGAGGAAGGCUGCUCCCCCAGGGAGAUCUGCGACAAGUCAGCCUCUCUCUCUCUCCUGCUUGUUCUUGUUGAGGUUUUGGUUGCUCUUCUUCUUUUCAAGUGAACCACUCUGCUCCGAUUAUUUGAUCGAUUGAGCAAAAUUGUGGCAUGGCAUGAAUUUUCCCCUAAAUUUUGAGGCGAUUUCAUAUCGAAUAUUAGGAACAGACGAGUUGUGUAAUUUUGUAAUGGGGAUCCAGUUCGGGUUAGGAACGAAGGGAAUUGUCAGCUUCAGCUGUCUUAUCCUUUUGGAAGCAAAUUGUCAAAUUGCGCAACUCUCAAUUGGUCCAAGUCCCCAACGAAACAAAAAUCUUCCUGUCCCACUAGUUAAUCCUUUUUUAAAAAAAUUUGGAUUAGCGCUUACUAGUACAGCUUUAACAACUGAGUCCUCUCUCAUGCCAUGUGCGUAAUGAAGGUACCAUGCCAUCCACAAGGAAGUGUACGAGUGGUUCGACAUCAGCUUCGACAUCUUCGGUAGAACAUCGUCGCCGCAACAGACCGAGGUCUGCCAAGACAUCUUCCUCAAGCUACUGGACAACAAUUGGCUGUCAGAGAACACAAUGCAGCAGGUAAAGUUAUAGUGUCAGUGCAGGGAUUAUUACUUUAUUGGCAUCUUGUUUCAAUAGAAGUUUUAAUUUCCAUUGUUUCUUCUGUGAUGUUUUUUUGCUAACAAAUGGUGAUGGCUGUGCUUACCUGCUGCAGCUUUACUGCAAUUCAUGCCAAAGGUUCUUGGCUGACAGGCUUGUGGAGGGCUACUGCCCCACAGAGGGAUGCAACUAUGACUCUGCCAGGGGUGACCAAUGCGAGAAGUGUGGAAAAUUGCUGAAUUCAACUGAGCUGGUUAAUCCCAAGUGCAAGGCAUGUCAUGUCUGUUAACCUUUUUUCACUGCUACUACCCACAAUGCAUUUCUUUGAUGUGCUGUGAAUUUCUGAACUUUCUUCAGGUUUGCGGGAGCACGCCUUGUGUCCGCGACACGGAUCACUUGUUCUUGGAGCUCCCUCUGCUGAGGGAGAAACUUGAGAAGUAUAUCGACGAGACUUCUUUGACUGGAUCAUGGAGCCAAAACGCUAUUCAUGCAACAAAUGCUUGGUUGAAGGAAGGGUUGAAGCCUCGCUGCAUUACCAGGGAUCUGAAAUGGGGUGUGCCUGUCCCACAUGAGAAGUACAAAGACAAGGUUUGUCAUCAUUUGUUUGUGUUGGUGAAUACGAAAAAUUCUAAACUGUAUAUUGUUCAAGAUCGUGUCAGUGAUACUUGUGAAUUGGUUUCAGGUGUUCUAUGUCUGGUUUGAUGCACCAAUCGGGUACAUCUCCAUUACGGCGUGCUACACGCCUGAGUGGGAGAAAUGGUGGAAGAAUCCAGAAAAUGUUGAAUUGUAUCAGUUCAUGGGUAAAGACAAUGUCCCAUUCCAUACGGUAAGAGUACAUAUUCUUUUGGCAACUUGAGCUUCCAAAGUGUCAUUCAGUUUUUAUUAGAUUCUGUAUGUCCAAAUACACGGGCUUCAUCAGGCCUUCUCUUUUCAUGGAGAUCAUAUUUCAUGCAUGUAACAAAAUAUUUAGGUCAUGUUCCCCUCCACACUACUUGGAACUGGAGAAAAUUGGACUCUGAUGAAGACGAUUAGUGUGACAGAGUAUCUCAAUUAUGAAUCAGGUAAGACGACUGUUUUUGUGGUUUACAUUCCAAAUAGGUUGUUUCUUACCUUUUCAGAUUGGGUGCCUUGAAUACUAAAUUACUACGUAUGUAUUUUCAGUGAGCCUAUGUGGACGUCUUCUUUAUGUUAGGAUUCUUUUUUUUCAUGAACAGGAAUUUGAGUACUAAAUUAUGUUUUUUUUCAUGAACAGGAAAGUUCUCCAAAACAAAGGGCAUUGGAGUGUUUGGGAAUGAUGCAAAAUCCACAAAUAUUCCUCCUGAAGUGUGGCGAUACUACUUGCUUACCAAUCGUCCCGAGGCUAGUUUUUCAGAAAAAAAAAAUCAUAAUAUUUCGGUUAUGCCUUUAUGUAGGCAUCUACAUAACUACAAUAAGAAAUUUGUUUUGAACUGUUUUCUGUUAAUUCCAGGCAUCAGAUACAUUGUUCACUUGGACAGAUUUGCAAGCCAAGUGUAACAACGAGCUGCUGAACAAUUUAGGGAACUUCAUCAAUCGAGUACUAAGCUUUAUCGCGAAACCAGAGGGUUAGUAAAACGAGGAAAAUCUUAGUUCUGAACAUGAUACCUCUGUUUUAGUGCUCUGUUUCCUUAAGAUUUCUCUAGUAGCAUCCGCAUUCACUUGUCCAUUUUAUUCUGAUUAGCUCCUGCAUGAUCUGUCUAACAAGAUGUUAAGAAAUAAGAAGUUAAGAUAGUUCAACUGCUGUUGCAGGAACUGGAUAUGGUUCUGUUGUACCUGAUUCUCCUGAUGUGGAUUCCCAUGCUCUGACUCAGUCAUUGGCUGAGACUGUUGGUAAAUUGAUUGAUCAGUACAUCGAUGCAAUGGACAAGGUAAUGCAUUGAUUUUAAGUUGUAUUAACUGUACUACUCAAUAAAUCUGAAUUUGAAUUGCCUCUACGGAUCUGAAGAAUCGUGCUAACAACCAUUUCCAUUAACAGGUCAAAAUAAAACAAGGGCUGAAGAUUGCAAUGGCCAUUUCUAGCGAAGGAAAUGCAUACCUACAAGUAAGUCUUUAUUCUUCUUUUCUUCCCUUAUGCUCCUAAUUGUACACUAAAUAUACUUUCGAGUGGAACUGUCUAAAAUUUUCCAUUAAUAUGCAGGAGAGUCAGUUUUGGAAGCUUUACAAACAAGAUCCAGCCAGUUGCGCAACUGUGAUGAAAACCUCAGUUGGAAUUGUGUACCUCCUGGCAUGUUUGCUGGAGCCUUUCAUGCCAACAUUCUCAAAAGAUGUAUGUCUCUUGCUUCGCCGUACAAGUUACUCGCAUAUUUGCACAUAUCUUUAAUGAGAAUCUAAUAUGUUCGUUGUUCUCUCACGCAGGUUCUGCAGCAGCUAAAUCUAAGUCCAGAAGAGCACCUAUCAUUUUGUGAUGAAAAAGGAGAGGUUGAGAAGGCCAAAAGACCUUGGGAUCUCAUACCAUCAGGCCACAGGAUAGGGAAACCUGCACCUUUGUUCAAGGGAUUGGUGAGCUUAUAUGCAUAUUUGGGGACCAUCUUUAUCUGUUUUACUAACCUUCCUUUGCUUCAUGCCUCCCACUAUGUGCAGGAAAACGAAGCGGUGAAGGGCUUGAGAGAAAAAUUUGCAGGCAGCCAAGCUGAAAGAAAAUUGAGGACUCAAGUCGCCGCACAAUUGGAAGCCACAAGCAUAUAGAAAAUCUAACACUAUUUCCCUUCAACUACUAGAUGUUAAAACCGGGCUUAACAAAAGGAGCGUUUGUUUUCUUUAUUUUGCCUUGAAUAAUAAUUGUACAGUGUAGUGACUUGAGAUUAAUGAUAAUACAUAUUACUUGUAAUUCCAAAACUCAAAUGCUCAAUUGAUUUUAGUUUAUUGUUGAUUAAUUAUUGAGGCUUGCACAUAUGCCACUGUUCUGAAAAUCUGUACUUGAUGUUGUUUUUUGUCUACCGUUCUCUCCAAUAUCUUCAGAAUUACUCGCCCACUUCAAUAGAUAUUGUGAAAUUACGCCAGAAUUCGGAAGCUCACUUACAAGCCAUAUGCUGUAAAAAAGAAGUAAAGAACAUACAAGCCAUAUGCUGGGACACCCAGUUCGUGGAAUACCUAUUCCAUCUGACAAAUUUGAUCACUGGUGAUUUUUGUAACCCUGCUUAGUUGACUGCCCUGAACUCUGAACCUUAAUCUUCUAAGUACUCUGGUGCAAGCCUGAGACUUGACUGGUAGGGCACCUUCCUCGUAUCCAGAAAAUACUUUAAUCGUGUCUAGAAUUAUAUAAAUUACUCAAAGUUUCUGAUACAUAUCAGCUGCUAUCAGUAGAAUAAGAAAAUUUGUGGAGCUGAUGACAAUGUAUGAUAAGAAACUUAGAUGCCCAUAUUCUUCAAGAUGGGGGGCCACGGCAAAGGAACUUUAUGCCAUUUGCUUGAGCAAGCUUCUUUUAUUCAUUCCUAUCAAAAUGUAGUAGAAUAAUAUCAACAGAAUCCAAUUCUGGCAGGUGAGAACCUUUUUUUUCCAUAAGAUAAGGGAGGGUUGUCCAUUCUCUGUUUUCUCAUAUUGAUGAAUCUCCAAGAGGAUACCAACAGUACAUUGGAACGGGAACACAAAAAUAGAAAGACCAUCUUGAGGGAUGUCCUUAGCAUUCAGAACUGAUAUUAUAAGAAACUUUUACAGUACAUAGCAGCAACGCAAUUGCUUGCAAUUUAUUUAUUUAUUUAUUUAGUUAUUCUUUAUCCGCAUUGCCAACUUAAGAGGAUUCCGCCACAUUAUAAACGUCUUGGUAGCUCUUGUAUUGGAGGGGAGUGAAUGCACCGAACUCAUCUCCUCUGUUAUGCUUGAGCCUCUGAGCCUCUUCUCUUGAGAUGCGAUAUGCAUUUGCUAGAACAUCAGUUGGGAGAGCACGGAAGAUGGAACUCUUUCCUGCAAUGUGGCUUACCAUAGAGUUAGGGUUUGUCUUGAAUGCAAUGUAAGCACAUCCUUCUCUUUGUGCCUUCUUUACAACUACAUAGUGUUGUGGUACAAUAAGUAGCUGUCCACGACGAAGCUCUCCGUUGAACACCGUCUUUCCAUUGUUGUUGACAACUUGAACCUGGGCUCGGCCUUGAGUAAUAUACACGAUGCUGUGAGCGUUGAUGUUCCAGAACGGUGAAAGGAGUGCAUUCUGCAAUAGAACAGAUACACAUCAUUAAGCAUAUUGUGUGCAUUAAAGCUUUUGCCAAGAAAAAAAAUGUGCUGUUCAUUUACCUGGUAUAGAUUUACUUUAACGGCGCUCAUCUGUACAAGAUUAAGAAUGGGGAAAUUCUGGCUGUUGAGAUUUGUAACCCUUCCAGCUCUUGGGUUGUAUGUAUCAGCACGGUUAGGAUUAUCGAUGUUUUGCCUUACCCUCAUGGUGCAAAAGGUCUCAUCCAAACCGUUAGGGCAGCCACUCCCAUAUUGACUUUGCUGAUAUCCUCCUUCUUGAUAAUGCUCUCUUGAUUGCAUUUGUCCUUGUUCCUGCUCUUGCAAUGAUGCAUAUGGUUGCAGCAAACUGAGCCCGCGUUCAACGCGGACAAUUUCUCCUCUUUGGUCAUUUUGACACUGGAGCUGCCUUGCAACUUGGUUGCUUAUGCCAAAAGCCUCGCUAAGCAGUUCAGUGCUAAAGCCACUAAAUAUGUUUUGUGACCACUCCUCAACUUCACGCCUGUAUGCUUGAGGGUUUCUCUUAUUUCCAGCUAACAAGAAAUCCUAACAAUUGAUUACGAGGUUAAAUCAUUGUCUAAGAAAAGUGGAAUAAAAAGGUCAAAAUAAUAGUAAAAUGUUUAGUUUUGGAUAAGUUUUGCUUAAUUACCCUCUGUCGAGGGUCAAGUUGAUUAGCACCGUUGUUGAUAUCAGUGACAUAUAUGGCAACAACCGGCACUUCACCAUCAUUGUAGCACCAAUGAGCUACACCAGCAGGCAACGCGAUAACAUCUCCUUGUCUGAAACGGUGAAUCUUUUGAUGUUCAUCCUUGAACUUAUGGCUUUGGCUUUGACUUUCGGUCAAUUGGGCUUGCCCUGAUUGUUGGAACUGCUGCUGGUAGGUCUCAGGACAGCCUGGGAAAGUCGGCCCUGUUAUACCUCUCCCUGAAAGUAUGGCAUGCAUGUUAAUUACAAGCAAUGUAAAUAUCGCAGCCAAUCAUUAAUUCAUUAUGCACUUAAAUUGUUACACAAACCUUGGAUGAUAUAUACUAGAGAUGCACCAUUAGUGUAAUGGGGUAGUAGUAGGCCUCUAGGUUCAAUAACUCGGCGGACAACAGAUACUCCGGUACAUUGAAACAACUCAUUAGAGACAUCGAAGAACUCAGUUGUGCCAGCUUGAGACCUCACACUCCGAAUUGGCUCAAAUGCUUGCAACCUAUCAAAUCUACAUCCUCUCGGACUUCCACGACGAGAACUCUGCCAUUGACUAGUGCUCUGGCCUAAUAGCUGCUGGGCUAGGGAGCCAUCGCACAAGAGGAACAAGCAAACUGUGAAGAAAACUAUGGGGCGAUUUAUGGAUGCCAUGUUGUUGUAGGACUAAUGAACUGAAUGCUUUUUGUGAGAAACAAUGAGAAAUCAUCGUGCAUUUAUAGUGAGAUAAAGGCUCUUGCAUCUAAAUGUUAAGAUAGAGUUUGUUAAUGUCCAGACAUGAAGUGACUCAUGAUAUAUGAAGUGUGGUACACGAAAGGUGGAUGAAUAAUGAUGGACAUACAGAUAUGUAUAAUUGACGCAGCAUUGUGUUGUUCUUUCUCUCUUUCUUUUGCAAUAUGACAUGGAUAAUGUAAAGCCCUCCUCUUUUUGACACGAAAGGCAAAUGAAUUUUUGUGAGUCAUGCCUUGUCUUAUAAGCUCUCCUCUUUUUGCAAUAUGACAUAUAGCUCUGGAGUUUUAUGUACACAUCAUUUUGCUUUAUCUUGCUUGAGUCUGUGAUUUGUCAUGUGUCACGCCUAAUACUCAUCAAACGUGACUUAUGGGUUUAUGUUCUAACAUUUAGCUGAAGAUACUUAUGUAGAUGAGUAGGAAUGAAUAGGUUGAGAGAGGCAUGAUAUGAUGCAUGAGUUGCUAUGUCAUCGAUGAUAUCUUAUUUUGCAUUAUGUCAGUGGAGAAUGCAAACUUUGCACAUUGCUUAAGGGUUUCUUAUCCGGGGUGAGAGAACUUUUGAGGCUCAUCGAGGAUACACGACUCAUCAAAAUGUUCUUUUUAUUUCGUGGUCCCAUAAUGCUCACACAUUACUCAUGAUAUUGUUUCCUUUUCUAACACCACAUCUUCUUUCAUUACUUUUAGUUUUGUCUGUACUACAGAAUACAACAAACUGCCUUGUGCAUAUUUUGGUGUUUUAUUUGGGUUGCCUACACCAUGAUUAACUUCUUAUUGCUGUGAGCAAAAACCAACACCCUACUGCUAACUAAUUGUUUGAACUGCACGGCACCUUUCCAAAAGCUCCCUCUCCCUAUGACCUUGUCAGUUGUUUUCCUGAACAGGUUGCUGUCAUCUUAGCUUUUCCAUGCAACAAAUGCUUUACAAGAGGUGUGGACUGGUAGGUUGUAGCAUUAUUUGGCUGGGUUAAGGCUGUGUUCUUGAGUGCUGGUUCAAAACAAUCUCUCUAGUACGAAAAACAGAGUGACUUAUUAGCGCAUGAUUAAUUAAGUAUUAGCUAUAACUUAAAAAAUGGAUUGAUAUGAUUUUUUAAAAGCAACUUUCCUAUACAUUUUUUUUUGGCAAAAAACACAGAGUUUAACAGUUUGGGAAGCGUGCUCAUGGAAAUCAAGAGAGUAAACGAAUGCAGCCUAAAUAUCAUUGCAACACUAUUGCUCAUGAUUGUUACUUAAAGGUAGCAGUGUAAGUCCAAAAAGUCUACAUUAUCCUGUAUCUACAAUUACUUCAAUGGCCUUUGUACAUAGAAAAUAUAUACUUCUUUAGGAAAACAUGCUCUUAAAAAUUCACUAUAUAUCAAUUUCUCACUGUACAAUAUUUUUUUCAAAUGAUUUAUAGGGCAAGUUAUAUAAUCUGUUUUUUUCACACUCAUCUGAGGCUACUAAUAGAAAAGAAGGAAGUACAACACAAAUGGAACAUGUAUACAAUUCUACAGUUAAUUCAAGUUCAACAUAUCAAAUGACUUUCCAUGGCAUAAGCAAUCAGGAAAAAACCAACCCAAGCAACCAUAGUGGGUAAAAUAACGUAAACAGGGAAGACUUUUACCUUAUGCUGAAGAGGAGCAUCGAUAAUGGUGAGUGGUGACCCAGAAGCAACUCUCAUCAAACUCAAAUCCAAGGCACUGAACACGCCACCACAUUCACAUCCAAUACGACAACAUCAUGUAUGAUUUAUAGGCCUGGACACAAACAACCUAGAUAAAUGUUUCCAAAUAUUGAGGGUGAAAAACAAAACAGAGGAAUUCGGCCUGUGAAGACAUAAACACAGGCAAGAUUGGCUGCUCAGCAAAGGCCUCAUAAGCAUUUCAUGUUGUUGAUGGUUAGCACAGAGUCUCCAUUCAUAUUGCAGCAGAUUGGAAAUCACAUACAUCAUGAUCCGAAAUGCAGGCCAAAAACCAGAACAAAAUGUAGAAGGGGAUGAAGCAAGUAGUAGGACAGCAUGGAAUACCAAGGAGAGUACAGCAAGGACUACAGAGAGCUAAUGGAGAAAACCUGAGGAGGGGGAUGUGACUUUAAAUGCAACGGAGGAGAAAUGGAGGAGGCAAAACAGAGCAUGAGAACCACACUUACCCAGGAAGUGCUCCGCACGUGAGGGUUGAGUAAAGAGCAUACAAGAACUUUGCAAUAUGUAGUGGAACAUAUUGUUUCCAUUGACAUCAAGCUGCAAAAGAACGACCAGAAAAUUCUCGGGGAAUGCCUCAGAUAGUAAUCAACAUGAAGUAUACCCUUCUCAGAACAUGGCCUGGCAAACCAGCACAAAUCAGCAUGAUCGAGUUCCUGCAUCUGUGAAUUGUGCAUCACAACUGCACAUAUCAUCUUGCACAGCUCAGCCAGCUGUUCCAGCCAACAGAACACUACACCGCACCAGCCGCAGAAAUGCUAAGCAAAUCUGCAGUAUGCUUUAUUUGUAGGGUGAUCUCAUGCAAGCAGUCAUAAAUAGCAUGACUAUCCAUAUGUGACUUGUCCUUCACGAUAAAUUCAUGAACCACACCAUUCAACUCAAUGCAGCUACACCCAGGAACUUUCUCCACUCCCAAAUGUCUCAUCAUAGCCCUGACUUUGUCAGCCUUCUUCCUCAUGUUCGCUUCUGCAUACAUAUUAGCCAGUAGCACAUAGAUUCCACUAUCACUAGGAUCAAUUUCUACCAAUUUCAUUGCUGCCUUUUCUCCAAGAGAGAUAUUACCUUGCAUCCUACAAGCAAAGAAGAUAGCACCCCAAACUACUGCAUCAGGUUCCAUAGGCAUAGUGUUUACUAGCUGCUCUGCUUCGUCUAAAUGGCCUGCCCUGCCUAGUAAGUCUAUCAUACAUGAAUAAUGUUUCAUUUUCCUCUCAAGAUGAUAUUUUGUCUCCAUCAGAGAGAAAAAUUCCCGACCUUCUUUCACCAAACCAGCAUGACAGCAUGCUGAAAGAACACCUAUAAACGUAAUCUCAUCUGGCUUCUGUCCAAGCUCUAUCAUUGUCCGGAAGUGCUCUAUGGCCUCAUUGGCAUGUCCAUGAUUUGCUAGACCACAUAUCAUUGCUGUCCAUGUGAGUGCAUUUUUCUCGGGAAUUUCUUUGAAAAUGUGGAUAGCUUUCUCAAUGUUUCCACACUUAGCGUACAUGUCAAUGAGAGAUGUGCCAAGCGCAACACUAAAUACAAGGCGAUGUUUCUCAAUGUACCGGUGAACCCACAUCCCCAUUUCUAAUGCUCCGAGCUGCGAACAAGCAGUUAGAAGAUUGACCAUUGUGAUCUCAUCAGGCACCACACUUGCUUCCUGCAUCUCAUGAAACAAGGAAAGGGCCUCCUUGCACUGCUUACACUGCACAUAACCGGUCAUGAGUGCAUUCCAUGGGAACACAUCCCUUUCAGGCAUCUCAUCAAACACUUUACGUGCAUCGUCCAUCAAUCCGAACUUGGCAAACCCCACGAUCAUCGUCGUCCAAGAGACAACUGUCCUGUGCUCGAUCCUCUCGAACACAGACUUUGCCAUCUCUAAACUGCCACACUUGAUGUACAUAUCCAUCAGCGCAUUCAUCAGCCUCACAGUGCAACUCACUCCGUCACUAUCCACGAACCCAUGAAGCCGCCUCCCAAGCUCCAGGUCACGCAUCUGCCCACACCCCGACACAGCCGCGAUCAUCGUGACCUCAUCAGGCCUCACCACUGCAUCCUCUGCCACCAUCCUCCAGAACAGCUCCAGCGCCUCCGCUGGGUUCCCCCGCCGCACGUACCCUCCGAUCAGCGUGUUCCACGACACCAAGUCCCUCACAGGACUUCGGUCGAACAGCCUGCGUGCGUCCUCCAUGGGCCCGCGGAUCGAUAGGAAGUGCGUGGCCGCGUUCACCACGAAGACGUCGGAGUCGAGGCCGAGGCGGAGGACGUGCGCGAGGGCCGCGUCGCCGUAUCCCCACUCCCGCAGGCGCGCGCAGGCCUUGAGCAGGAACGGGAACGUGAGGUGGUCGGGGCGCGCGGUCCCGGAGCGGAGGAGGGCGCGGUAGAGCGGGAGGCAGCGGCGGACGACGCCGUGGCCAUGGCGGUCGCCGUCGUCGGAGAGGGAGAGUGCUCGGAUGGCGGCGUUGUAGGCGGAGGCCGGGAGCGAGGAGAGGAGCGCGAGCGCGUGGCGGAGCGGGGAGGGCGGCGAGGUGCGGGCGUCCGUGGCGGUGGCGGUGGUGGAGAGCGCGUAGGCGGCGGCGAGGAGGGAGGAGAAGUCUUGAAGGAGGCCGGCGGCGAGGAGGUGGGCGUGGAUCUGGAGGAGGCGGCGGAGCGGGGGCGGCGGGCGGCGCGCGGAGAGGAGGGCGAGGAGACGGGAAGACGGAGGCGGAGGCGGCAUCGUUUGGGGAGGCGGGAGGAAGCGGAGGCGCGGGUGAGAGGUGAAACUGUGCAAGGCUUUGGAAUGGCCCGCAUGUCAGUGCCAGGUUGGGAAUGGGCUGAAUGUUUGGGCCUCCACACAGGGCGGAAGGAAAAAGUACACCGCAGGUCGCUCAAUUUGUCAUCGAGUUACAAAAUCGUCCAUCAACCACAAAACCGGAUACAUGACAUCCCUCAAUUUACAAAACUGUUCACUUUAGGUCAUUCGGUAGCUUUGAUCCCGGUUUUAUCCGACGUGGCGGCUGAGUCAGCGUGGAACCCACGUGAACCCUACAUAUCAGUAAUCCAUGUCAUCACCUCCCUCUUUCCCCUCAUCUCCCUUCCUCCUCUCUUUCUCUCACUUUUAUCCUCUUGGGCAGGCUGGCCAGUGAUUGCAGGGGCAAGAAGCCGCCGCCGUGGAGCUUGGAGUGAAGCGAGGGGUACCAACCCUGGUGGUGCUAGCGGCGGAGACGAAGGGUGGUCUCUACUACCUCUCCAACCUCGACCAGAACAUCGCCAUCGUUGUGCAGACCGUCUACUACUUCACGGCAGCCGACGACGAUGCCGCCACCGGUGAUGCACUGAGGGAGCCGCUCCUGCAUAGGUCGUUCCGGUUCACGUCCGAGCCCAUCGUCCAUGUCAAGGCGCUCGUCGCGGUCGACGGCGGUGGCAGUGGGCGCGCGCCCACGAUGUUCGAGGCGCUCGCCGGGUUCGUGUGGAGUGUUGACGGUCGUUAUAGACAAAUUUCGACCACCAAUAUAACUAAAAUAAUGUCGGUGGUUGGGGCAGGCGGCGGCGGUUGCUGACCGGCUAAAGGAGGAAGAAGGGGCCAAUAGGUGGGCCCCACCUAUCGAUGACCCGGAGAGAGGAGGGAGGGGGCGGGCCGGCCUAGCAAGGGGGCGGCGCGGGAGGCGAGUUGGGCUGAUGUCCCAACAAAGGAAAAGGGGAAAAAGAAAAGAGGAAAAAGGAAAAAUAAUUUCCUGGGAUUUAUAUAUUGCAGUUUAUUGCUUUUAAUUAGUUAAAAUUAUUUCCAUGGCUUUGAAAAUUCCGUUAAAAAUCUUGUUAAUGCAUUAGAGCAUGGGGAACUCAAGAAAAAUACUACCACACCGAUUCCAAUUAUUAAUUAUGAUUCAACUCUAGGUUAAAUUAAACAAUUUCUUCAAGCAAUUUAUUAAACGAAUUUAAAGCUAGAAGGGGAAAACUUCAGGGCGUGACAGGCGUGGCGGUGGGAUUCAUACCGGUGGGCACUGGUGCCGCCGCCCUCUCCUUCUCCCACGUCGCCACCGCCGCAUCGCCGGUCGUCGGACCUCCUCUCCCGCCUCACCCCAGCGACCUCCCCACCCGUCGGCUCGCCUGCCUAGAGGAGAAAAAGUGAGUGAGUGAGUGAGAGAAAGAGAGAGAGAGGGGGGAGGAGGAGGAGGAAGGGAGAGGAGGGGAAAGAG